GAUGAACGCUGGCGGCGUGCCUAAUACAUGCAAGUCGAGCGAACGGACGAGAAGCUUGCUUUUCUGAUGUUAGCGGCUGACGUGUGAGUAACACGUGGAUAACCUACCUAUAAUACUGGGAUAACUUCGGGAAACCGGAGCUAAUACCGGAUAAUAUUUUGAACCGCAUGGUUCAAAAGUGAAAUACGGUCUUUCUUUCACUUAUAGAUGGAUCCGCGCUGCAUUAGCUAGUUGGUAAGUUAACGGCUUACCAAGGCAACGAUGCAUAUCCGACCUGAGAGGGGGAUAGGACACACGGGAACGGAGACACGGAACAGACGCCUACGGGAGGAAGCAGUAGGGAAUAUGACGCAAUGGGCGAAAGCAUGACGGAGCAACGCCGCGUGAGUGAUGAAGGACUUAGGAUCGUAAAACACUGUUAUUAGGGAAGAAAAUAUGUGGAAGUAAAUGAGCACAUCGUGACGGUACCUAAUCAGAAAGCAACGGCUAACUACGUG
rnacentral:rRNA from 1 species